rnacentral:rRNA from 1 species
AGAGUUUGAUCCUGGCUCAGGAUGAACGCUAGCGGCAGGCCUAAUACAUGCAAGUCGAACGGGAGUAGCAAUACUCUAGUGGCGCACGGGUGCGUAACGCGUAUGCAACCUACCUUUCAGUGGGGGAUAGCCCGGGGAAACCCGGAUUAAUACCGCAUAAGAUAGUUGAAUGGCAUCAUUUAAUUAUGAAACAUUUAUGGCUGAAAGAUGGGCAUGCGUUAGAUUAGCUAGUUGGUGAGGUAGAGGCUCACCAAGGCUAUGAUCUAUAGGGGUUCUGAGAGGAAGAUCCCCCACACUGGUACUGAGACAGGGACCAGACUCCUACGGGAGGCAGCAGUAGGGAAUAUUGGGCAAUGGAGGCAACUCUGACCCAGCCAUGCCGCGUGCAGGAAGAAGGCCUUCUGGGUUGUAAACUGCUUUUGGAAGGGAACAAAAAGGCUUUGCGAAGCAACUUGAGUGUACCUUCAGAAUAAGCACCGGCUAACUCCGUGCCAGCAGCCGCGGUAAUACGGAGGGUGCAAGCGUUGUCCGGAUUUAUUGGGUUUAAAGGGUGCGUAGGCGGCUUAUUAAGUCAGGGGUGAAAGACUGCAGCUCAACUGUAGCAGUGCCUUUGAUACUGAUGAGCUUGAGUACAGAUGAGGCAGGCGGAAUGGGUGGUGUAGCGGUGAAAUGCAUAGAUACCAUCCAGAACACCGAUUGCGAAGGCAGCCUGCUAAACUGUAACUGACGCUGAGGCACGAAAGCGUGGGGAUCGAACAGGAUUAGAUACCCUAGUAGUCC